rnacentral:snRNA from 1 species
GUGUUACCUCGUGUUUCACAUAUACUAAAAUUGGAACGAUACAGAGAAAAUUAGCAUGGCCCUCGUGCAGAGGACACCCCGCAUUCCUCUCUGUUUU